UACGAAGGGUGCAAGCGUUAAUCGGAAUUACUGGGCGUAAAGCGUGCGUAGGCGGUUGGCUAAGUCAGAUGUGAAAGCCCUGGGCUCAACCUGGGAAUGGCAUUUGAAACUGGCCGGCUAGAGUGUGAUAGAGGAUGGCGGAAUUCCCGGUGUAGCGGUGAAAUGCGUAGAGAUCGGGAGGAACAUCCGUGGCGAAGGCGGCCAUCUGGAUCAACACUGACGCUGAGGCACGAAAGCGUGGGGAGCGAACGAGGG
rnacentral:rRNA from 1 species